CGUUAAGGUUCGCUUUACGCGAUUAGCAAAGGGAACGGGGUGAGAGUCCCCGACUGUCUCGCAGCUGUGAGCCCCAUUAUUGCCUCAGGCACGAUGCCACUGUCGGUUUUUUGGACGGGAAGGCGCCUGCUGGCGGGGGUGAAGUCAGAAGACCUGCCUUUUCAA
rnacentral:ncRNA from 1 species